GGAGGCGUCCGAUAGUGGUUAUUCGAGCAGGUUGCUAACCUGCGGCCUAACAAGGCCUCGUGGGUUCGAAUCCCACCGCCUCCGCAA
rnacentral:tRNA from 3 species